rnacentral:snRNA from 1 species
GUGCUUGCUUUGGCAGCACAUAUACUAAAAUUGGAACGAUACAGAGAAGAUUAGCCUGGCCCCUGCACAAGGAUGACACACAAAUUCAUGAAGCAUUCCAUAUUUUU